UUCUGAUCCGUGCAGCAGCCGCCUCGCCUUCUCUUUCCUCACGCGUCCCCUCCAUCCUGCCUUUAGCUUUGAUCCAAUAGUCACCGCUAGCCUCUCCUCCCUCGCUCCCUGUAAUUCACUGUUCUUUCUUGGCUCGAUUCCACCACCUCUCGAGGGAAUCAACCCGAGCACCACUUUUCCCAAUCUCAAUUUGUUAUCCAUGUGAAGAUAGAAACCAAUCGUGUGUGCGAUAUCUAUUUUCUAUUCUAGGGUUCACAAUUGACAUCAUGUAUUGCGGGCGUUCAUGGGCGUCGUCGAUGAAUUCACGGCAUACAUGGGAAGGAUCCAUGAGCAUGAUUGGUCAGGUCUGAAUCGGGUGAUAAUAUGUAUGAGCUCCUGAUUGUACGUCCCUUCGAGAGGAGUUCUUUCCGCCACAGUGACGCACGUACAGCCAAUCUUCAACUAUUGCUUUCCAGCAAGACAGAACUGCAAGGAUUUAGGCACAUUAAUUGAUUCAUGAAGAGAGUACAAAACAAGGCUUGCCAGAUAGCUACUGGAUUGACCUGACGGAAGAAUGGAACACAUGCUGGUUAUUAAAUAGAAAAACUCCAUGGCGUAAUGUGACUUGGCAGAGCAAGGAUAUAUUGAUGGAUCAAGGUCUGCAUCUAUAUUCCCCGGAGUCUUCUCUCACGCCCCAUCGAAUUGCGCAUGGUGAAAACAAAUAACAAACAUGCAGAUAUAUUGGUGUUAUCCUCCUGGAGACGGGGAAGAAGAUGCCUACUAAUGAGGUAGACCUGAAUGUCAUUGGCUCACGACCAGCGGUGAAGAAGUACAACGAAAAGCAUGCAGCCGAGGGAAAAAACAACAUCGAGAAGUGGCACGGUAUACGGUUCAUUGCACGAUAUAGUGAAGUUGUCAUGUUGCAUAAAUAAGAAAGUUGAUGUGGUUAAUGACUGACUUGGCCAAGACAAAAAUCACAUGGUGGCAAGGCUGUAUUUUAAUUUGAAGUAGUGACAGAGGCAGGAGGAGUGGAAGUGUUUCUAUUCAGAUUCGAUAUUUUGAUUUCAGGUAUGUACAUAAAUAUCAAUGCAGCAUAAUUUCAUACAGAGUAGGAGUGUAGCAGUCCAUCUUUGAUUCUACUUUCUUAUUUGAUCCCAGCAGUAGGAAAAUUAUACCUGGUCUGCAAGCAACAUGAGUGAAUUUAUUUUUCUCAUAAAGCGGUGAGGAUAAAACAGAGGUUUGACACAAUUUUCAGUGCUUUUGCUCUCGAUAUCCAUCCAUAUAGUGUAGUGAAAGGUCGUGGUAUGUCUGAUCAAGAUUUAGUUUUGCUUAACGUUAGUGCUUAAAUACAUAUGGGUGCAUAUUGUUUAUCUCGACCACGACAAAGGAUUGGAAUGGUGACAAUGUUUACAUUGUUGCAUCAAUUAAUUUUGAGCUAACCUGCUUCUAAUUGCAUGUAUCUUAUCUGCCAUAUACUUAUAUUUUAUUUACUACAUAUAGGUUUUAAUUGGUGCAAUAUUUUAUUUACUACUCCCUCCGUUCCAAAAUAGAUGACUCAAUUUUGUACCAAGUUAGUACAAAAUUGAGUCAUCUAUUUCAGAACAGGGGGAGUAUAUGUGAUAUGUAUGCUCUCCCUAUUUCAAUCUCUAAUUUUCUUAAAAUUCUUUCUCCUUUUUAUGUGUUUCCAAGUCGCUUGCAGAGCCAAAUUUCAUUAUUUCUUAGUACUGGUACGGUGGGGUACCCCUCCAAUUUUUGGUAAUUACUAAUCAUGAGGUAAAUAUAUUCAGAGGGAGCACUUUAUGAUAGCAAUAUAACACAAUCGCUCCAUUUAUAUUUAAAUCCGUUUGAAUCUGACCGUGCUUACAUAACGAUAAUAACUGGGCUCAAUUUUUUUUAGAAAAGUGGCCUCGAUUGGUCUAUGACUUUUUGAACAAUAAUUUAUGCGUCACCUGAGAUCUCGGCCUCUUAUUCACACAGUAGCAAAUCAAUGUGGAAUUAGGUGUAGCUAUAUCACAAACUUAGGUUUAUACGAUAUCAAUUUCUUAGUAGUAUGAGAUUACUGACUGAAAUGCUGAUACGUAUACCUAUUUAUGUUUGAGUUUUAAUAUCUAGGCUUUAAUGUUUUGAAAAAACGACACUCUGAAAUUAUAUAUGGCAAUCUGAAUGCAUAUUAAAAACAAAACAAGAAAUCUACACAAAAUAAAAACUAGCCCGUGCGAAUGCACGGGUUGAUGACUAAAUUAUCAUUAGUUACCUUGCUGUUUUUAUAUUUUUAGAUUACAAAAACCUAUAUCUAUCAUCCAUAUUGCACUUGUAUCACCAUCUCUUCGCCGAACUAGUACACCUAUACAAUUUACCAUUGUAUU